rnacentral:lncRNA from 1 species
AGAUACUCUCUUGACCCAGAAAACCCCACAAAAAUAAUGCAAAUCAAGAGGCUCGAACCUUCAUGUUCACUCUAACAACACCCAGUAAUCUGCCCAGGCCAUCAAGGGUAUGCAUAGCCACAAAGCCACUAAGAAUCUGAAAGAUGUCACUGUAAAGAAGCAAUGUGUGCCAUUUGGACGGUAUAAUGGUGGAGUCAGUAGGUACGCCCAAGCCAACCAGUGGGGCUGGACACAGGGACAGUGGCCAAAAUAGAGUGCUGAAUUUUUGCUGCACAUGCUUAAAAAUGCAGAGAGUAAUGCUGAACUAAAGGGUUUAGAUGUAGAUUCGUAGAUUCUCUAGUCAUUGAACACAUCCAGGUGACUAAGGCACCUAAGAUGUGCCGAUGAACCUACAGAGCUCAUGGCCGGAUUAACCCAUACAUGAGCUCCCCCUGCCACACUGAGAUCAUCCUCACUGAGAAGGAACUGAUCAUUCCAAAGCCAGAGAGGAUAUUAUAUAGAAGAAAAAG